rnacentral:rRNA from 1 species
AUUGAACGCUGGCGGCAGGCCUAACACAUGCAAGUCGAGCGGUAGAGAGAAGCUUGCUUCUCUUGAGAGCGGCGGACGGGUGAGUAAUGCCUAGGAAUCUGCCUGGUAGUGGGGGAUAACGUUCGGAAACGGACGCUAAUACCGCAUACGUCCUACGGGAGAAAGCAGGGGACCUUCGGGCCUUGCGCUAUCAGAUGAGCCUAGGUCGGAUUAGCUAGUUGGUGGGGUAAUGGGUCACCAAGGCGACGAUCCGUAACUGGUCUGAGAGGAUGAUCAGUCACACUGGAACUGAGACACGGUCCAGACUCCUACGGGAGGCAGCAGUGGGGAAUAUUGGACAAUGGGCGAAAGCCUGAUCCAGCCAUGCCGCGUGUGUGAAGAAGGCCUUCGGGUUGUAAAGCACUUUCAGCGAGGAGGAAGGGUGGUGUGUUAAUAGCACAUCACAUUGACGUUACUCGCAGAAGAAGCACCGGCUAACUCCGUGCCAGCAGCCGCGGUAAUACGGAGGGUGCAAGCGUUAAUCGGAAUUACUGGGCGUAAAGCGCACGCAGGCGGUUUGUUAAGUCAGAUGUGAAAUCCCCGCGCUUAACGUGGGAACUGCAUUUGAAACUGGCAAGCUAGAGUCUUGUAGAGGGGGUUAGAAUUCCAGGU